rfam:Echinostoma caproni strain Egypt genome assembly, scaffold: ECPE_scaffold0009224
GGCCUCGUAGCUCAACUGGUAGAGCGUGAGCGUACAAAGCGUAGGCGGCGUCCAUGCAUGGGGUCGAAUCCCACCGAGGCUA